rnacentral:rRNA from 1 species
ACGCUCGACACCUACGGGAGGUAGCAGUGGGGAAUAUUGCACAAUGGGGGAAACCCGUGAUGCAGCGACGCCGCGUGGAGGAAGAAGGUCUUCGGAUUGUAAACUCCUGUUGUUGGGGAAAAAGAGGAUGGUACCCAACAAGGAAGUGACGGCUAACUACGUGCCAGCAGCCGCGGUAAUCUGAGCGGGCUGGCAAGGC